rnacentral:rRNA from 1 species
GAUGAACGCUGGCGGCGUGCUUAACACAUGCAAGUCGAACGGUGAAGGCGGAGCUUGCUCUGCUGGAUCAGUGGCGAACGGGUGAGUAACACGUGAGCAAUCUGCCCCUGACUCUGGGAUAAGCGCUGGAAACGGCGUCUAAUACUGGAUACGAGCUGCGAAGGCAUCUUCAGCAGCUGGAAAGAAUUUCGGUCAGGGAUGAGCUCGCGGCCUAUCAGCUUGUUGGUGAGGUAAUGGCUCACCAAGGCGUCGACGGGUAGCCGGCCUGAGAGGGUGGCCGGCCACACUGGGACUGAGACACGGCCCAGACUCCUACGGGAGGCAGCAGUGGGGAAUAUUGCACAAUGGGCGAAAGCCUGAUGCAGCAACGCCGCGUGAGGGACGACGGCCCUCGGGUUGUAAACCUCUUUUAGCAGGGAAGAAGCGAAAGUGACGGUACCUGCAGAAAAAGCGCCGGCUAACUACGUG